UAUACUAAUAUGUAUUAUGUUGUACUCUCUGAAUAUAAUGAUGUAGAUUGCAAUGCAUCUUGGAAUCAGUAGUCAGUUAACAGCAACAGCGUUCAAUCCGCUUUAUGAAAAGAACUACCUUUCCCAUAAUGCAACAGCUUACAAGAGGACCCGGAAGUCACAUGAAAUUCAAACUGCCACACUUGACGACGCGUGAUCUUUGUUUUGUCUUUAUAUAAUACUGUAAGGUAAGUUAAGAUACUUUUCUUUUUAAAUAGAUUUCACUCGUUGUUCUACAGCGAGUUACAUAAAUGUUUUUUCUGUUUAUUUGCUAUUCUUUUCUGUGAUGUUUUUUAUUUCUAUGUUAGGCUAUAUAUUCUUAUUUGCCAUUUAAAGUAUAAUGAUAAACAUGCAGGCUUACAGUGAGCUAAACAAUUUUCAUAAAGAGGAUGUUAAAAAAAUCUUUAAGAUGUUCGAUCUUUACAAAAUAAAUUAAUGCUCAGCCCACAGAGAAGCCAACCAAAGAUCAAAUGAUUUGUGUACAAAACAAAAAAUCGACACUUUUUGGAAAUACUUUUGUAAAGGAAUUAAAUACCUAAGAAUCAUAAAUUAGCGUUUGUCUUACAAAAAAAAUGUAAUCAUUAUUGUGCUUUGUUUGCAGAAGUCAUGUACCACACAUUGUCAAACCUGAAGAAGUGUAUCUUCCUGCAAUCUGGGCUCCAGACCUGGAGAUUGAAGUUCCUAAAGGUUGAUGUUUAUCAAGCUUGUGACCUUAUCGCAUGGUGUUAUUUUUUUACAUUUAUAUAUCUAAUACACAUUUGCACAUCUGUAAACAUAAAUUUAAUAUUUUGUGGGCUAUUUUUUAUUUUAUUUAACCAGUUGUUGUAUAUUGAAAUCUGUUACAUUUUAUGCACUCCAAAUGUAAAUGUUUUGUUUUAAUUGCAUCUUUAUUGUUUAAAACAAUUUAAUUAAUGUGGGUUUUUGUUAGCUUUUAUGUUAUUCUUGUAUUUUUUGGCUAUUUAUUUGUUUUUGUUUUUUAUUAUCCUUCUGUUAAUUUGCCAGAUUUUGACCUUCUAUUUGUUUUUCUUGUAAUCUCACUUCAAUUAUUUUCUGUGUUUCUCAAUGAUGCAUUUUUGUCACAGUCCCAAUUUGUUCCUGCUUGUUUCUCCACUGUCAGGUGAGGAUAAUAACAAACACAGUGGGACCGUUCAUCAUCCAUUUGGACUUCAUUUCCCAUAAUCCUUUUCACUCUCUCACCUGAACUGUGUUUGUUAUUAUCCUCACCUGACAGUCAUCCCCCUCAUCACUCCAUUGUCUAAAUACCCUGCUUUUCCCUUUGUCUAGGUCAGUUCUUGUUUAUAGUGAUGUGUUGUGUGUUUUGCUGUUUACCAGUUUCCAUGUUCCUUGUUUUAUAUUAAUUAAAGAUUAUCAUUUUGGAUUCAUCAUGAUCUCCAUCUCCUCCUUUAUCCUCCACCACACCAACCGUAUCAAUUUCACAGUAUAAUUAUAUAUUGUUUGAGUUAUGGCUAUGUUCUGGGGUUUCUGGAUAAGUUGUGGGUGAGUCUCAAAUGUUCUGGGAACUUUACUAGGCAAUGUCCUUAACACCAGCGGGGUCGUUCUAGGAACAUAAAAUUUCUACAUAAAAUAUGGUUCCCUUAACAUUUCCAGAACGUCCUGAAUGUUCCGUGAAGGUCUGCCAAAUAACGUCCUUCAACCUUUUAAAGAACUCCACAUCACGUCAGUCUUGGAACGUUCUGGGAA